CUAUUCUUUUGAAUAUAUUGUCCAUUUUAUAUACAAAAUCGGUGAAUCUACUCCUAUAAAUAAGACCAUACCUAUCGUAGGAAACAUCACCACUAUUCCAAGCAAAACUGAUUUAGUUAUGAGUAUGUGAAACCUCUUUGAAAAUCAGAUUUUCACCCUCAGCCCUGCAACAAGAAUGUAUAGAUCAACUGAUCAUUCUUACAAAAUGGGCUUCUUGCAAAAACACAACAAUCACAAAAUCUACACUUAGGAAUGAUAACCUGUUUCUAAGUUUGGUAGAUUUUCAAAGUGUUUUACAUGGAUCACUUAAACCAUGUUUCCUCACUGGUACGUUCGCAAAUUAUUACCUGCGAUAUUGAUUUGAAAAAAAAAAACAUUUUCGACCAC
rnacentral:lncRNA from 1 species